CUAAGAAUAUUCCGCAAUGGACGGAAGUCUGACGGAGCGACGCCGCGUGGAUGACGAAGGCCGAAAGGUUGUAAAGUUCUUUUGCUGGGGAAGAAUAACCGCAGGAGGGAAUGCCUGUGGGAUGACAAGAACCGGCGAAUAAGCCCCGGCCAACUACGUGCCAGCAGCCGCGGUAACACGUAGGGGGGCGAGCGUUGUUCGGAAUUACUGGGCGUAAAGGGCAUGUAGGCGGCUUGGAAAGCCUGGCGUGAAAGUCUGCAGCUUAACUGCAGGGGUGCGCUGGGAACUGCUGAGCUUGAGUGACGGAGAGGGAGCUGGAAUUCCUGGUGUAGGGGUGAAAUCUGUAGAUAUCAGGAAGAACACCGAUGGCGAAGGCAAGCUCCUGGCCGAUGACUGACGCUGAGGUGCGAAAGUGUGGGGAUCAAAACAGGAUUAGAUACCCUGGUAGUCCACACAGUCAACGAUGUGCACUAGGUGCUGGGGCGGUAGCUUCGGUGCCGGAGCGAACGUGGUAAGUGCACCGCCUGGGGAGUAUGCUCGCAAGGGUGAAACUUAAAUGAAUUGACGGGG
rnacentral:rRNA from 1 species